GACGAACGCUGGCGGCGUGCUUAACACAUGCAAGUCGAACGGAAAGGCCCUGCUUUUGUGGGGUGCUCGAGUGGCGAACGGGUGAGUAACACGUGAGUAACCUGCCCUUGACUUUGGGAUAACUUCAGGAAACUGGGGCUAAUACCGGAUAGGAGCUCCUGCUGCAUGGUGGGGGUUGGAAAGUUUCGGCGGUUGGGGAUGGACUCGCGGCUUAUCAGCUUGUUGGUGGGGUAGUGGCUUACCAAGGCUUUGACGGGUAGCCGGCCUGAGAGGGUGACCGGCCAAAUGGGGACUGAGAUACGGCCCAGACUCCAACGGGAGGCAGCAGUGGGGAAUAGUGCACAAUGGGCGGAAGCCUGAUGCAGCAACGCCGCGUGCGGGAUGACGGCCUUCGGGUUGUAAACCGCUUUCGCCUGUGACGAAGCGUGAGUGACGGUAAUGGGUAAAGAAGCACCGGCUAACUACGUG
rnacentral:rRNA from 1 species